AUACGGAGGGUGCAAGCGUUAUCCGGAUUUAUUGGGUUUAAAGGGUGCGCAGGCGGCGAUGUAAGUCAGUGGUGAAAGGCUGCCGCUUAACGGUAGGACUGCCAUUGAUACUGCAUUGCUUGAGUAUGGUUGAGGUAAGCGGAAUGUGUGGUGUAGCGGUGAAAUGCAUAGAUAUCACACAGAACACCGAUUGCGAAGGCAGCUUACUAAGCCAUUACUGACGCUGAGGCACGAAAGCGUGGGUAGCGAACAGGAUUAGAAACCCUUGUAGUCC
rnacentral:rRNA from 1 species